AUGUGGGGGGGGGACUUUAUUUUUCAGGUUGAAGCACUUAACAAAUUAAAAACUUUAAAUAGUUUAAUAAAACUGAAUGCAGUGAAGCUAAACAGAGCUAAAGGGAAGGAGGCCAUGCAUACGUGUUUAAAACAGAAUGCUUAUCGGGAAGCCCUCUCUGAUUUGCAGUCACCUCUGAAUCCAUGUAUCAUCCUUUCAGAGCUCUAUAUUGAAAAGUGCAAAUACAUGGAUUCCAAAAUGAAACCUUUGUGGCUUGUAUAUACCAAUAAGGUAUUUGGUGAGGAUUCAGUUGGAGUGAUUUUUAAAAAUGGUGAUGGUAAGUACUCAGGUUUUUAUAGCACCAAGUUUCUUAGAAGUUUUCAUUUGCUGGUAAUUUUGCUUUAUCUGAAAAGUGCAUAUAAAUGUGUAACCACUGGCAACCAAGAAGUGGCUGUCAUAAACUAAGCAUGUCAUAAAUCCUUCCCUUUUUUUUGUUUUUCUUUCUCAGAAAAUAAAUUCUGUAGUUCACUUAUAAUUCACUGUUGCUAGUACCUUUCCUUUUUUUCCUCCUAUAAAAUACAUAGUCUAUUUCUUU
rnacentral:lncRNA from 1 species